UACGAAGGGGGCUAGCGUUGUUCGGAUUUACUGGGCGUAAAGCGCACGUAGGCGGAUCUUUAAGUCAGAGGUGAAAUCCUGGAGCUCAACUCCAGAACUGCCUUUGAUACUGGCGACCUUGAGUCCGGGAGAGGUGAGUGGAACUGCGAGUGUAGAGGUGAAAUUCGUAGAUAUUCGCAAGAACACCAGUGGCGAAGGCGGCUCACUGGCCCGGUACUGACGCUGAGGUGCGAAAGCGUGGGGAGCAAACAGG
rnacentral:rRNA from 1 species